UAAGGUCAAGGCGAGACGAGCCGUUUAUUAAACGAUAGGUAUCAAGUGGAAGUGCAGUGAUGUAUGCAGCUAAGGCAUCCUAACAGACCGAAAGAUUUGCCCUUGUUCGUUCCUAUUUUCUUACAUAAGAAAAUAGAAAGGAGAUAGAAAGAAAAUAGAGAAAAUAUCUAUUUGAAAAUUGUGUAAUUUCAAUUAAUUAAUUAAGGUGACAUAAAAAUGGUGAAAUUAACGUUCAAUUUCACCAUCACGUUCCACGUUCAAAAAAAGCCUCAAUAAUCUACUAUAAAAAAAAGGGCUAUCCUCAUCCUCAAAGAGGAUUUGAAC
rnacentral:rRNA from 1 species